rnacentral:rRNA from 1 species
CUAUGCGCCUUGCCAGCCCGCUCAGUCAGAGUUUGAUCCUGGCUCAGGACGAACGCUGGCGGCGUGCCCUAAUACAUGCAAGUCGAACGAGAGCGACCGGUGCUUGCACUGGUCAAUCUAGUGGCGAACGGGUGAGUAACACGUGGGUAACCUGCCCAUCAGAGGGGGAUAACAUUCGGAAACGGAUGCUAAAACCGCAUAGGUUCUACAGUCGCAUGACUGAAGAAGGAAAAGAGGCUUCGGCUUCUGCUGAUGGAUGGACCCGCGGUGCAUUAGCUAGUUGGUGAGGUAACGCUCACCAAGGCCGUGAUGCAUAGCCGACCCGAGAGGGUGAUCGGCCACAUUGGGACUGAGACACGGCCCAA